rnacentral:rRNA from 1 species
UUGCCCUAGUACGGCGAGUGAGCGGCAACAGCUCAAAUUUGAAAUCUGGCUUCGGCCCGAGUUGUAAUUUGCAGAGGAAGCUUUAGGCGCGGCACUUUCUGAGUCCCCUGGAACGGGGCGCCAUAGAGGGUGAGAGCCCCGUAUAGUUAGAUGCCUAGCCUGUGUAAAGCUCCUUCGACGAGUCGAGUAGUUUGGGAAUGCUGCUCAAAAUGGGAGGUAAAUUUCUUCUAAAGCUAAAUACCGGCCAGAGACCGAUAGCGCACAAGUAGAGUGAUCGAAAGAUGAAAAGCACUUUGAAAAGAGGGUUAAAUAGCACGUGAAAUUGUUGAAAGGGAAGCGCUUGUGACCAGACUUGCGCCGGGCAGAUCAUCCGGUGUUCUCACCGGUGCACUCUGCCCGGCUCAGGCCAGCAUCGGUUCUCGCGGGGGGAUAAAGGCCCUGGGAACGUAGCUCCUCCGGGAGUGUUAUAGCCCGGGGCGUAAUGCCCUCGCGGGGACCGAGGUUCGCGCAUCUGCAAGGAUGCUGGCGUAAUGGUCAUCAGCGACCCGUCUUGAAACA